UGCAGUCCACUCUUCCCAAAGCUUCAGAUCUUCUGCUGCUUCUUCCACAGUCUCACAAAUCUUCUUUCGUUGCUUUCCCAGCUUCUUCUUUUGCUUCAUUUCUGCAACUUCCUUUGUGUUAUUCGCAUAUUCUAAUUUUCUGUUUCCUUUCCCUCUGCUCUGCCCGAAAAAGAAAAAAAAUUACUGCUUUUUCCAACUUUCGCUGGGACCUCUGCGAAUUGAUUUUUCUGUUUAAUUUCUCAACUUUUUCUCAAACGUCGUUUCCGCACUUUCCUUUGUUUUGCUUCCCUCCUGAUCAUUUUUAACUUCAUUUUGCUAGUUUUUUGUGAUAUUUCCUGAAGAAGAAAAUCCUACAAAUUUCCACAAAAAAAAAAAACUGCUCUUUCAAUUUGUUACUGCUCAUAUCUCCAAAAAAAAAAACAAAAGAAAAGUCUAGUUAUCCUCUGUGCUUUCAUUUUCUGUGAUAGUUGGACUUCUUUCCUGUAUGUUCUUGUUUUGAUUUGUUGUUGUUCGUUUCUUGUUUGAUUUCACAAGUUCAUCAUCUUUCUACGAAAACCUUCAGAUUUCAUGGUUGUCUUUGAUCUGUGUGAAGCAUUUGUUUUUUAAAGUUGUUAAAAACACCAUGAGAAGGGUGGUGUCUCAUGCUUGAUCUAUGUUGGAAGUCCAAGGAAAGCUAACUGUUGCUGGGAGAUCUGAGGUUUACAUAACUUGAAACUUCAAAGUUUCUCGUUGGCUACUCAUAUUCAUAUUCUUAUCUUUCAGAACAUAGAGAGCAACCAAGAAGAAGAAAGCUGAUCCGACCAUUGCUGAAUUAGGGCUCUAGCUGUUGCCAACGACCCUCAACCAGGCUGCAGUUGUCAUCGAACAAGUCACAAGGUUUCAGGAGUUUUUUUUUUUUUUUUUUUUUCCUUUUUUGGAAUUUAAGUCUACGACAUAACCGCACAACAGUGACAGAAAUUAAGUCAUGUCUGAAGGCUCUGAGCGUUUCGGCGGACUCAGUACUGAAGAGGCAGAAGCAGAGGUAGAAGAGCAAACCGAAUCGUCAGAGAAGCCAAGCAGCCGUCAGAGAUAUAAUUCCAUAAUUCAGGAAUCUCCUCGCCUCUCAUUUAGAAAUUGGUUUUUACCCGGAAAUGAAGGAGGACAGAUCGG